UCUCAAAACCUAAGGCGAUGGCGGGCUGGCGGCGAUGGGUUCAUCCCUUCCACCCCGACCUCUCGCCUCUCUUGUUCAAUUCCCACCCCCGACCUCUCGUCUCUAACUCUGCGAUACAAGUUGCGCCGCCCUCGUCUCCGGCCGGCCGCCUCCUCAUCUUCGCCCAGCCGCCGCCCUCUUAUUUACCCUUAAGAUUUCAUCAGGGAGGGGAUCCACUCACAGAUACGUUGAGGCUUUACACCACUAAAGACUGAACCAGAUUUUUACUCCGUGUCGCGCCAUCUCUGGAAGUCUGGAUGCAACCUCGUUCGAGCACCCAGGCGCUGGUAAGGGUGAGCUCCUGGAUCCACAACCCAAAACCAAGCUUAUUCUUUUCGAUCCACGAUGCAAGGACCCCCACCAGGCGGCUCAGAGGGAGUGAGAUGGACACGACUAGAAGAUGCGUUGUCAUCCUCAAUCUUUUCUUGUCCAGACUCACCGGUGGCCCGUGGCCUGGUUAGUGGUUACCACGAUGAGGUUCCAAUAGUACACGGGGAUCCACUGACACACGCGCAGAGGAGCGGCCGGUCUGCGUCCAUCCAGCCAUAAUGCGAGGCGGGGUCCGGCCAAGACGAGGCUCGCGCUGUGAUCGACCAGAGGCGCGGGUCCGGCUUCAGUCGAUGCGCUCGAGGUGUCGUGGUGAAACGACUCCGUCUACUCUUCGCCCAGUCGCCUCCCUUCUCCAACCUCCCCAGCUCGUUCUCAUGUCUUUCUUCAGGCAGCCAAGUGAGCUCUUGUUGUACCUGCCGCACAGUGUUCGUACAAAACAAGCGGCACAUUUAAGCGAGCUAGGGGCGAGUCAGUGUCAAAACGUGUCAAUCAAGGCCUAGCAGUUUUUCUGAACUUUGCCACUUCAUAACGUGCUGAACCCUUCUCCUUGUGUUCAGAGUACUGACAAAACUCCUACUGGAAACAUGACGAUGGCGAACCCCGAUUUCAGAAGAACUAUAGAAAGAAAGUGUUGAGCAUAAAAAUGUGAUCUACUAUAGUGGUGAUGUUUCUUUUCUUAUAGUGUGGGCAAUAUUCUUUUUAUUCCUUAUGAACAUAAUGUAGUGCUAAUGUCAGGAGCAUGCAUGUACAAAUUAUAUCAUAAUAUACUCUUUAUAUUGCAUUUUCAGUUUAGUUCUCACCUGUGUGUUUUUCACAGUUUCAGUGAAAGCUUGAUGAUGUUGCGCCCUCGAGUGCCGGUGAUUGCCAUGCAUCCUCUAAAUCAACUAAAAUUUCUAUUGAUUUUGUAGCUAAUGUAGUGGUAACUCUUCUGAUCGCUUUCAUAUAAUUAAAUUUGCAAUGUACGACCAAGUGCUCCUUCAUUUGCCUUCUAUAAUCAUUAUUAUGUUUUAGAAUCAUGCUCCAGUUUAUAAGAUGUUAGAAAAAUCUUGAUAGGUGCUUGGCUCAGAGGCCUUCGUACAGGUGCCAUCUGCACAUGCUUCGCUUGAUUGCAGCGGUUGGAACUCUGAGAUAACCCGACAAAUAAUCAAAUUUGAGUAUGUGAAAUGAAGCAGAAAUUAAGUGUACCACUGAUAAUAUAAAUGUCCAUUUAUGCUUAUGUAAAGAUAUUCUUAUUAUUCUACCGCAUUCCACUCUACGUAGGAAAUCCCAUUUAUGGUAUUAGUAUAUCAGUUACUACUUGAUUUCCUAACUAAGUGAAAUCCUUGUUAGCAUUCUUCUCCUUGAGUGUGGCACACUCCACACAUGAAAUGUCUAGGCACCGGGCCCGCCUAAUUCUUCUUUGUUGCGGAACAUGGAGCCCCUUUCGGUAGAGAGGCACAUGAACAUUUCAUUAAUGCACCAUGUAUACAAUCUGUAAUGACAAUUUAUGUCUCCUCUUGCAUGUUUAUUUUUGCUGUGGCUUAUUAUCUGUCUUGGCACUAUGGAUUGGUUUUAUUUACUGAAUACAUGGAUGUAUAUGUUGUCAUAUCAA